UGUGUAUGUAUGUGUGUGUGUGUGUGUGUGUGUAUAUAUAUACAUACAUACAUACAUACAUACAU
rnacentral:miRNA from 12 species